rnacentral:rRNA from 1 species
AUUGAACGCUGGCGGCAGGCCUAACACAUGCAAGUCGGGCGAGCGGCGGACGGGUGAGUAAUGUAUGGGGACUGCCCGAUAGAGGGGGAUAACUACUGGAAACGGUGGCUAAUACCGCAUACUAUCGGAUAACCCAUAUGGGAUUAGCUAGUAGGUGGGGUAAAGGCUCACCUAGGCGACGAUCUCUAGCUGGUCUGAGAGGAUGAUCGGCCACACUGGAACUGAGACACGGCCCAGACUCCUACGGAGGCAGCAGUGGGAACUAUUGCACAAUGGGCGAAAGCCUGAUGCGGCCAUGCCGCGUAUAGAAGGAAGGCCUUAGGGUUGUAAAGUACGUUCAGCGGGGAGACGUUACCAGCAGAAGAAGCACCGGCUAACUCCGUGCCAGCCGCGGCGGUAAUC